rnacentral:rRNA from 1 species
GACGAACGCUGGCGGCGUGCCUAAUACAUGCAAGUAGAACGCACAGUUUAUACCGUAGCUUGCUACACCAUAGACUGCGAGGUGCGAACGGGUGAGUAACGCGUACGUAACCUGCCUGGUAGCGGGGGAUAACUAUUGGAAACGAUAGCUAAUACCGCAUAAUAUUAAUUAUUGCAUGGUAAUUAAUGGAAAGGUGCAAUUGAACCACUACCAGACGGACCUUCGUUGGAUUAGCUAGUAGGUGAGGUAACGGCGGACCUAGGCGACGGUACAGAGCCGACCUGGGAGGGUGGUCGGCCAGCCUGGGACUGGGACCCGGCCCAGACGCCUACGGGAGGCAGCCGUAGGGCAUCUUCGGCGAUGGAGGAGAGUCUGACCGAGCAACGCCGCGUGAGUGAAGAAGGUUUUCGGAUCGUGAAACUCUGUUGUUAGGGAAGUACGGGUGUGAGGGUUGAAAGUUCACACUGUGACGGUAACUGACCAGAAAGGGACGGCUAACUACGUG